rnacentral:tRNA from 1 species
CUUAGGAUUCUAUAAAAUAGAAAAAAUCUAUAGGUAGCUAAAUGGUAUAAAUCUAACCGUUUUGUGAUUUUG